rnacentral:rRNA from 1 species
CUUUUAGAGAGUUUGAUCCUGGCUCAGGAUGAACGCUGGCGGCGUGGAUAAGGCAUGCAAGUCGUACGGAAUUUUUAUUGAAGGCGUUGCGAUUACAUCAAGACAACGGAUAUAAACAUUUAGUGGCAAACGAGUUAGUAACACCUUGGUACGUACCUCAAAGACGGGAAUAACUUGUCGAAAGACGAGCUAAUACCCGAUGGUAUCCGAUGCAACAUUCGGAUUAAAGCCGCAAGGCGCUUUGAGAUCGGCCUAGGUCCCAUCAGCUAGUUGGUGCGGGUAAGAGCCCACCAAGGCUAUGACGGGUAGGGGGCGUGAGAGCGUGAUCCCCAACGACGAAACUGCGACACGGUUCGUACACCUAUGGGUGGCAGCAGCCGAGAAUAUUCGACAAUGGGCGAAAGCCUGAUCGAGCGACGCCGCGUGCAGGAAGAAGGCCUUCGGGUUGUAAACUGCUUUUGCUAGGGAGAAAGUCCAGCACCAUUUUUGCCAAUGAUGUGUUGUUUUUUGUGUCUUUGGACACAAAAAGGUUUGUUUUUCGCGAUUAGAUUUUGACAUAUGUAAUCGUGGGCAAAAAUGGUGCUGGAUUGAUAGUACCUAGCGAAUAAGGGCUUGCUAACCUCGUGCCAGCAGCCGCGGUAAUACGAGGAGCCCGAGCGUUAUCCGGAUUUAUUGGGCGUAAAGGGUGCGUAGGGGGUUUUGCGCGUUCGUUGUUAAAUUCCACCGCUCAACGGUGGGCAUGCGAUGAAUACGGCAAGACUAGAGGAUACUAGAGGUGAGCGGAACGCACGGUGUAGGGGUGAAAUCCGUUGAGAUCGUGCGGAACACCAAAGGCGAAAGCAGCUCACUGGGGUAUUCCUGACCCUGAGGCACGAAAGCGUGGGGAGCAAAAAGGAUUAGAUACCCUUGUAGUCCACGCCCUAAACGAUGCCAACUAGCUAUCGGGAGUGUCGACCCUCUCGGUGGCGUAGCUAACGCGUUAAGUUGGCCGCCUGGGAAGUACGGUCGCAAGACUAAAACUCAAAGGAAUAGACGGGGACUCGCACAAGCGGUGGAUCAUGCGGUUUAAUUCGAUGGUAAACGAGGAACCUUACCAGGGCUUGAAAUUCUACGGAAAUCCUCCAGAAACGGAGGCCCUCCCGCAAGGGACUGUAGGACAGGUGCUGCAUGGUUGUCGUCAGCUCGUGGUUUGAAUUGUUCCCUUAAGUGGGGUAACGAGCGCAACCCUUGUCUUGUGUUACUAUGUCACAAGAGACUGCCCUCUUAUCGGGGGAGGAAGGAGAGGAUGACGUCAAAUCAGCAUGGCCCUUUGAUGCCCUGGGCCACACGCAUGAUACAAUGGUUGGUACAACGGGAUGCAAUGUCGCGAGGCGGAGCAAAUCCCUUAAAACCGAUCUCAGUUCGGAUUGCAGGCUGCAACUCGCCUGCAUGAAGUUGGAAUCGCUAGUAAUCGCGCAUCAGCUAUGGCGCGGUGAAUACGUUCUCGAGUCUUGUACUCACCGCCCGUCACUGCAGGGGAGCCGGGAAUGCCUAAAGUCCCGCACCAUUCUUUGGAUUGCGAAAGCUUUGUUUUCGUUUUCUGAAUUGUUUAGAAUGUUUGAUGGUGUUCAAACAAAUCGAGGGAAUGGUGCGGGAUUAGGGUAGGUUCGGUAACAUGGCAGAAGUCGUAACAAGGCACGUGUAGCGGAAGCUGUGCGUGGAACAAUUAUUUU